rnacentral:rRNA from 1 species
UACGUAGGGUGCGAGCGUUGUCCGGAAUUACUGGGCGUAAAGCGUGCGCAGGCGGUUUUGCAAGCCGGAUGUGAAAUCCCCGGGCUUAACCUGGGAAUGGCAUUUGGGACUGCAAGGCUGGAGUGCGGCAGAGGAGACUGGAAUUCCUGGUGUAGCAGUGAAAUGCGUAGAUAUCAGGAGGAACACCGAUGGCGAAGGCAGGUCUCUGGGCUGACACUGACGCUCAUGCACGAAAGCGUGGGGAGCAAACAGG